AUUUUAAAUUUAUAAAUGUAAUGAAAAUCAGAUGACUUUGGAAUUAAGGAAUAUGUGAAGUAAAAAAUACAUGCUCUUUCUUGGGGAUAUGCUGCUUUUUCCCUUCCUAUAAUCUAAAUUCUUGAUGAGUAUGUAGUCACCCACGUCUUAACUUCUGUAGAACAGUGAGCUAGGGUCUUCCAUGCCAGAAGGGCAGAGAGAUCCUCAUCACAUCUGACCCCACCCUUCAUUGCCUCUCCUUCCCAGGUUGAAAUCCAGGGUGUCUACAUCCCACAGGAUUAUGGAGGGUGUAUGCAUUGUGCACUUGUCACUUAGAGACUCCUACGGUCUGAGAAUGUUAAUUUUCCUUCGUGUCGUCGUGGUAGAGACCCAGAGGUGGCAUUUCAAGUUCCGGGAGUUAUGCAUGAACUGGCUUUCUGGAAUUAAAGGGAAGCAUGAGGAAUUUCACUGCCUUCCAGCAAUUAAAUUGCAUUCAAGAAUUCUACAGUAGCCUUGGUGGUCUGCAACAACAUUUCAGGGAUUAGAUGCUCUAUCUCCUGUCUAGCAAAGGCCCUUUCAUCUGGACCAGCCCCCACCUGCAACGGCCCCCCAGCAUGCAUUCCCUCUCCCUCAGUCCCUUUCUUUCCUCCUCCCUUUGGACAACAGACAACAAGAAAUGUAGCAAAAGGCGGAAAUAUGCAGAGAUACAAGCUCAUGAAAAGGAGCACAUGGAAGACUUUGGGCUUGCCAGUUCUGGUCACAGGAAGAAAUGGCAAGAACAGAAGGAACACAAAGCCAUGAGACGAAAGGCAUCGGCAUUCGAAAUUCAGCUUGUGAGCCUAUCCCUUGCCAGGUCUGUGCUGGGUGCUAUGGUGGAGCCAUGAGUAAGGCACGUCCACUGCCUUGAGAUGCUCCUGCACCGCAGGAGAGAUGAGUGUGCAACCAAUGGCAGCGCUAGUUAUGUGGCCAACGAUGGACACUUGUGCUCGAGGACUCGACAAAUUCUGCCCGGCUAAGGGAUAGGAAAGGGCUCAG
rnacentral:lncRNA from 1 species